AGCACAAGUACAGCUAAGAGGCCAAGGGCAGGCUUUUGAGCCAAAGCCAAGCAUCUAAAGCCUGGCCAGCAGCUUAAGAGUGGGCUGGAGCCACAAUGACGCAUAAUAAGCAUACUCCCUAGUGCAUUUUGCUGUCAGAUGCUCUCCUGCUUGUGCGCGCGUGCGCAUACAUGCGCACAUGCACGCUAGCUCGCUCUCUCUCAUUUACCUUAAAGAGAGAUGGAAAAGAAGAGAACCUGCAGGAAGCAGAAAUAAGGCAGUAAACAGAAGCCCGAGACUCCGAGGCAAUAGAGACUGUUUUCAGCGGCAGCAAAGAGUCUGCAGGUUGGAGACCAUCUGGAGGACAUGCCUAUCAGAACUAAGACGGGAAAGAUGAGUAGAAAUUGAUCAGGCCAGUGAAGAGGGUGGACACCUGCCUCCCAGCCAAGCAUUCUACCCCGUGUGUGAGCGAGGGAAUGAAAGCAGGUGAGGCCAGAGACGUUUUCAGUUAACUAUGGACGAUUGCUAGAAUCAACAAUUUUGACCUACAAAAAUGGCCAUUUCAUAUGAUUCUCCCUAUCAACAGGGUUCAGUUACAGACAACUUUGUGUUAAUUCCAGGCUGGAGAAUUUUGCACUUUAUCUUCCUUGGGAUGGAAAAGUAAUGAAGAAUUGUGACGAGGUGAGUUUCUCCCUCAAAUUUUUUUUUUUUUUAAUUUUACUUUUCAGGGCCGAACCUGUGGCACGGCCUAUGCCACAACCACAGCAAUGUGGGAUCGGAGCCACAUCUGCAACCUACACCACAGCUCAUGGCAAUGCUGGAUCCUUAACCCACUGAGCAAGACCAGGGAUUGAACCCACAUCCUCAUGGAUACUAAUCGGAUUCAUUACCCCUGAGCCAUGACGGAACUCCGAGAUCCAGUGUUUACUUUACAUGCUUUUUGAGAGAUGCCUUUAAAAAAAAAUCUUAACAUUAUAAAUCAACCACACUUUAAUUAAAAGAAUAAAAAUAAUCUUACUUGGACAUCUAAAAUAUGAAAAAGAGUUGCUCUGGCUAAAAUGGCAGUAAGAGCUGAAGAACCGCUCUUACUCAGCCUCCCUGCACCCAUGGCAUGUGGAAGUUCCUCCCCCAGGGAUCAAACCUGUGCCUCAGCAGCGACAAUGCCGGAUCCUUAACCUGCUGAGCCACAGUGGGAACUCCAGUAUUGCCUUUAUUACACAGGGAGAAGACAACAUAUCUAUGAGCCAAGGAGAUAGGCUUUGGACAGAUUCUUUCCUCACAGCCCUUAGAAAGAACCAAUCUGCUGCCCUUAAUCUCAGAUUUCUAGCCUCCAGAAAUGUGAGGAAAUACAUGUCUGUUGUUUAAGCCACUCAGUCGUGGUACUUUAUUACAGCAGCCUGAGGAGACUAAUACACCCUCCUUCCCUCUUCGUUCAACAGAGCAGCGGAGUGACCCUGUUAAAACAAAGUCUGUCAGGGAGCAGGAAUUUUCCACUCUACCCUCUUGAGUUUGUGUGGCUGGGCUAAUAACAAAAUUGCCGCAAGAAAGAUGAACAGACAAAAAAAAGUCUUGUCUCUAUGGGGAGUCUCAUAGAGACAAAACCCAAGAAAUGGCCAAAGUGGGCAGCUUUUUCCUUUGUAGACAAAUAAUACGUAUGUGACUAACUGCCAGGACCAAGAAACUUAGGUUUGGGUUAUGCAAUUAGUGAAUAAUCGAAGCAGAGUUUGGGCUGCAGGUAGUAAAUUCAAGAAGUAACAAGGCUUGUUUAUACGGGGUUCUUGCCCCAAGUUCCCUUUCUCUGGUGAUAAGGGUGUCCUUCUACCUCCGAAGGGCAGGCACCUCUCUCUUGAGAUGUAUUUCCUGCUUUCAGGGAGACAGAAGAGAGUCAGAGUGUCCUUCUUGCGUUGGUCAUUUUUUUUUUUAAAUGUUUUUUUGUUCACAUAAUAUUUGCUUUUUAUUUUUUUAUUACUCAAAUGAAUUUAUCACAUCUGUAGUUGCAUAAUGAUCAUAACAAUCCAAUUUCACAGGAUUUCCACCCCAUAACCCAAGCACAUCCCCCCACUCCCCAAACUCUCUCCUCCGGAGACCAUAAGUUUUUCAACGUCUGUGAAUCAGCAUCUGUUCUGCAAAGAAGUUCAACUGUCCUUUUUUUCAAAUUCCACAUGUCAGUGAAAGCAUUUGAUGUUGGUGUCUCAUUGUAUGGCUGACUUCACUUAGCAUGAUAACUUCUAGGUCCAUCCAUGUUGCUAAAAAUGCCAGUAUUUCGUUCAUUUUAAUGGCUGAGUAAUAUUCCAUUGUGUAUAUGCACCACACCUUCUUGAUCCACACCUCUGUUGAUGGACAUUUAGGUUGUUUCCAUGUCUUGGCUGUUGCAAAGAGUGCUGCAGUGAACAUCAGGGUACUUGUGUCUUUUGGAGUCAUGGUUUUCUUUUGAUAGAUGCCCAGGAGUGGGAUUGCUGGAUCAAAUGGUAGUUCUAUGUUUAGUCUUCUGCGGAAUCUCCAUACUGUUUUCCAUAGCGGUUGCACCAAUUUAUAAUCCCACCAUUGCCUUGGUCAUUUCUUAAGUAACUUGAAUUCAAAAUAAUCAAUACGGCACUGUGGUGAAUGUUGGGGCGGCCUAACCUAAGCCCCAAGAAGUCAAAUCACACCUCUUCUCUGUGAAAACUCCCCAAAGUCCUUUCACAGACUUGCAGUGAUCCCCACUCCCUCCUGUCUUCCCAGCAUCCUCUCCUGCGACUGUCCCCUCACUCCUGCUCUAGCCCCACGCCCCAGCCCCGUACGGCUGAGCCUUUUGUCCUGAGCACUCUUGCCAGAAUCUUCACCUGGCUCAGGUACAGCCUUUCCAGAGAGUCCCUCCCUGGCCAUUUGAUUUGAGAUCCCCCACAUCCCGCUUUCUAUCCCACUUGACUGCAUUCUUAUUCUCUGCAGCCCACAUUACUGUCCAAGGUAGGGCAUUUUUAUUUUUCUUUUAAUAUUGUCUGUCACCC
rnacentral:lncRNA from 1 species